rnacentral:rRNA from 1 species
GACGAACGCUGGCGGCGUGCUUAACACAUGCAAGUCGAACGGUAAGGCCUUUCGGGGUCCCCGAGUGGCGAACGGGUGAGUAACACGUGGGUGAUCUGCCCUGCACUUCGGGAUAAGCCCGGGAAACUGGGUCUAAUACCGGAUAGGACUGCGCGGUGCAUGCCGUGUGGUGGAAAGAUUUAUCGGUGCAGGAUGGGCCCGCGGCCUAUCAGCUUGUUGGUGGGGUAAUGGCCUACCAAGGCGACGACGGGUAGCCGGCCUGAGAGGGCGACCGGCCACACUGGGACUGAGACACGGCCCAGACUCCUACGGGAGGCAGCAGUGGGGAAUAUUGCACAAUGGGCGCAAGCCGGAUGCAGCGACGCCGCGUGAGGGAGGACGGCCUUCGGGUUGUAAACCUCUUUCAGCAGGGACGAAGCGUGAGUGACGGUACCUGAAGAAGAAGCACCGGCCAACUACGU